rnacentral:rRNA from 1 species
GUCCACGCCGUAAACGAUGGGUGCUAGACGUUGGCGGGCUUGCCCGUCAGUGUCGCAGCUAACGCGUUAAGCACCCCGCCUGGGGAGUACGGCCGCAAGGUUGAAACUCAAAGGAAUUGACGGGGGCCCGCACAAGCGGUGGAGCAUGUGGUUCAAUUCGACGCAACGCGCAGAACCUUACCAGCCCUUUACAUGUGACUCGCCGGGAUCAGAGAUGGUCCCUUCGGUUCGGCCGGAGUCAACACAGGUGCUGCAUGGCUGUCGU